rnacentral:tRNA from 1 species
GACCGUGUAGCUCAGUUGGUAGAGCGUCGAUCUAGUAAUUCGAAGGUCGCGGCGGGUUCAAGACCCAGCCGCGGCA